CGCGGGGUGGAGCAGCUCGGUAGCUCGCUGGGCUCAUAACCCAGAGGUCGCAGGUUCAAAUCCUGCCCCCGC
rnacentral:tRNA from 1 species